UCCUGGCUCAGGAUGAACGCUGGCGGUCUGCUUACACAUGCAAGUCGAACGGAACCUUCGGGUUUAGUGGCGGACGGGUGAGUAAAGCGUGAGAAUCUGCCUCCAGGUCGGGGACAACAGCGGGAAACUGCUGCUAAUCCCGGAUGAGCCUAAGGGUAAAAGAUUUAUUGCCUGGAGAGGAGCUCGCGUCCGAUUAGCUAGUUGGUGAGGUAAGAGCUUACCAAGGCAACGAUCGGUAGCUGGUCUGAGAGGACGAUCAGCCACACUGGGACUGAGACACGGUCCAGACUCCUACGGGAGGCAGCAGUGGGGAACUUUCCGCAAUGGGCGAAAGCCUGACGGAGCAAGACCGCGUGCGGGAGGAAGGCCCUUGGGUCGUAAACCGCUUUUCUUAGGGAAGAAGCUCUGACGGUACCUAAGGAAUCAGCCUCGGCUAACUCCGUGCCAGCAGCCGCGGUAAUACGGAGGAGGCAAGCGUUAUCCGGAAUUAUUGGGCGUAAAGCGUACGCAGGUGGCGAUUCAAGUCUGCUAGUCCAAGCACGGGGCUUAACUCCGUCUAGGCAGUGGAAACUGAAUA
rnacentral:rRNA from 1 species